AGAGUUUGAUCAUGGCUCAGAAUCAACGCUGGCGGCGUGCCUAACACAUGCAAGUCGAACGCGCCUAGCGAUAGGCGAGUGGCGGACGGGUGAGUAACGCGUGGGAACCUGCCCUUGAGUGCGGGAUAACCGAGGGAAACUUCGGCUAAUACCGCAUGCGCCCCGGGCAACUGGGGGAAAGAUUUAUCGCUCGAGGAGGGGCCCGCGUCGGAUUAGCUAGUUGGUGGGGUAAUGCCUACCAAGGCGAUGAUCCGUAGCUGCUGAGAGGGAUGAUCAGCCCANNCUGGGACUGAGACACGGCCCCAGACUCCUACGGGAGGCAGCAGUAGGGGAAUAUUGGACAAUGGGGGCAACCCCUGAUCCCAGCAAUGCCGCGUGAGUGAUGAAGGCCUUAGGGGUUGUAAAGCUCUUUCGCACGCGACGAUGAUGACGGUAGCGUGAGAAGAAGCCCCGGCUAACUUCGUGCCCAGCAGCCGCGGUAAUACGAAGGGGGCGAGCGUUGUUCGGAUUUACUGGGCGUAAAGGGCGCGUAGGCGGCGGUCCAAGUCGAGUGUGAAAGCCCCGGGCUCAACCUGGGAGGUGCGCUCGAGACUGGUCCCGCUGGAGUUCGGGAGAGGAGAGUGGAAUUCCCAGUGUAGAGGUGAAAUUCGUAGAUAUUGGGAAGAACACCGGUGGCGAAGGCGGCUCUCUGGACCGAGACUGACGCUGAGGCGCGAAAGCGUGGGGAGCAAACAGGAUUAGAUACCCUAGUAGUCC
rnacentral:rRNA from 1 species